UACGUAGGGUGCAAGCGUUGUCCGGAAUUAUUGGGCGUAAAGAGCUUGUAGGCGGUCUGUCGCGUCUGCUGUGAAAUCCCGAGGCUCAACCUCGGGCUUGCAGUGGGUACGGGCAGGCUAGAGUGCGGUAGGGGAGAAUGGAACUCCUGGUGUAGCGGUGGAAUGCGCAGAUAUCAGGAGGAACACCGGUGGCGAAGGCGGGACUCUGGGCCGAUACUGACGCUGAGGAGCGAAAGCGUGGGGAGCAAACAGG
rnacentral:rRNA from 1 species